rnacentral:rRNA from 1 species
GACGUAGGGUGCAAGCGUUGUCCGGAAUCAUUGGGCGUAAAGAGCGUGUAGGCGGCCCGAUAAGUCCGCUGUGAAAGUCCAGGGCUCAACCCUGGAAUGCCGGUGGAUACUGUCGGGCUAGAGUCCGGAAGGGGCGAGUGGAAUUCCUGGUGUAGCGGUGAAAUGCGCAGAUAUCAGGAGGAACACCAAUGGCGAAGGCAGCUCGCUGGGACGGUACUGACGCUGAGACGCGAAAGCGUGGGGAGCAAACAGG